rnacentral:tRNA from 1 species
UUCCUGGCAGUCUAGUGGUUAGGACUCAGUGUUUUCACUGCUGUGACCUGGGUUCAAUCCCUGGCGAGGAAA